GAUGAACGCUGGCGGCGUGCUUAACACAUGCAAGUCGAACGGAAAGGCCCAAGCUUGCUUGGGUACUCGAGUGGCGAACGGGUGAGUAACACGUGGGUGAUCUGCCCUGCACUUCGGGAUAAGCCUGGGAAACUGGGUCUAAUACCGGAUAGGACCACUUCUUGGAUGUUGUGGUGGAAAGUUUUUUCGGUGUGGGAUGAGCUCGCGGCCUAUCAGCUUGUUGGUGGGGUAAUGGCCUACCAAGGCGUCGACGGGUAGCCGGCCUGAGAGGGUGUACGGCCACAUUGGGACUGAGAUACGGCACAGACUCCUACGGGAGGCAGCAGUGGGGAAUAUUGCACAAUGGGCGCAAGCCUGAUGCAGCGACGCCGCGUGGGGGAUGACGGCCUUCGGGUUGUAAACUACUUUCGCUAGGGACGAAGCGUUUUGUGACGGGACCGGGAGAAGAAGCACCGGCUAACUACGU
rnacentral:rRNA from 1 species